rnacentral:rRNA from 1 species
UACGAAGGGGGCUAGCGUUGUUCGGAAUUACUGGGCGUAAAGGGUGCGUAGGCGGGUCUUUAAGUCAGGGGUGAAAUCCUGGAGCUCAACUCCAGAACUGCCUUUGAUACUGAAGAUCUUGAGUUCGGGAGAGGUGAGUGGAACUGCGAGUGUAGAGGUGAAAUUCGUAGAUAUUGGGAAGAACACCGGUGGCGAAGGCGGCUAUCUGGACCGACAUUGACGCUGAGGCGCGAAAGCGUGGGGAGCAAACAGG